rnacentral:tRNA from 1 species
AGACAACAAAAUGUUAAAUAUUAAUUUUGUCACCUUAGGUCGAUCGGUAUCUCACGUUCUUAACUUAUUAAGAAUUUCAUUUUCUAAGUUUUUUCUAGGUCACACCCAUUACUUUCCCUGGGCCAUUAGCUCAGGUGGUUAGAGCGCACCCCUGAUAAGGGUGAGGUCCCUGGUUCAAGUCCAGGAUGGCCCAUAUCUCUAUGUUGGGGGUAUAGCUCAGUUGGUAGAGCGCCUGCUUUGCAAGCAGGAUGUCAGCGGUUCGAGUCCGCUUACCUCCACUGAUUACCACCUCUUCCAUAUUUAUAGAAGGGAAAUGUAUUGAGUUGUGAUCAAAUUCUGAAAGAAUCUAGCUUCCUAAUCAAUAGUAUUAAGAUGCUGGACUCAUUGAAUUAAUUUCAUUGUUUUCAGAGAACCUUGACAACUGCAUAGAUUAUUUUUAAAGACAAUAAGCAUCUUUAGUGAUGCAGAUUUAUUAUUUGUGCGAAUGCAUUAAUAACAAUUCUAUUAAGCUGAUGCUUCAAUUUUGAAGUUAUU